UACGAAGGGGGCUAGCGUUGCUCGGAACCACUGGGCGUAAAGCGCACGUAGGCGGCUUUCUAAGUCAGGGUGAAAUCCUGGAGCUCAACUCCAGAACUGCCCUUGAUACUGGAGAGCUUGAGUUCGGGAGAGGUGAGUGGAACUGCGAGUGUAGAGGUGAAAUUCGUAGAUAUUCGCAAGAACACCAGUGGCGAAGGCGGCUCACUGGCCCGAUACUGACGCUGAGGUGCGAAAGCGUGGGGAGCAAACAGG
rnacentral:rRNA from 1 species